CCUACGGGAUGCAGCAGUGAGGAAUAUUGGUCAAUGGACGCAAGUCUGAACCAGCCAUGCCGCGUGCAGGAAGACGGCUCUAUGAGUUGUAAACUGCUUUUGUACGAGGGUAAACGCAGAUACGCGUAUCUGUCUGAAAGUAUCGUAAGAAUAAGGAUCGGCUAACUCCGUGCCAGCAGCCGCGGUAAUACGGAGGAUUCAAGCGUUAGCCGGAUUUAUUGGGUUUAAAGGGUGGGUAGGCGGUCGGAUAAGUUAGAGGUUAAAUCCCGAGGCUCAACUUCGGAAUUGCCUCUGAUACUGUUCGGGUGGAGAGUAGUUGCGGUAGGCGGAAGGUGUGGUGGAGCGGUGAAAUGCUUAGAGAUCAUACAGAACACCGAUUGCGAAGGCAGCUUACCAGGCUACUUCUGACGUUGAGGCACGAAAGCGUGGGGAGCAAACAGGAUUAGAUACCCGGGUAGUC
rnacentral:rRNA from 1 species